AAAUAUCAAAUCCUUCUUCAAACAUCUGGGGCAGGAAAUGCAAGAGCAAGCAGGUGAUGAGAGUAUAGACAAGCACUCAGAAAAGUAAAUAUGUUGUAUUUAGUCCCCUUGUCCCAGAGUAAAUAGAGGGAUUUUCUCCUGCACUUGGCACAGAGCCCUUUUCAUCUUCUCUCAAAGGCUGCCUGUGAGGAACUGCGGAAGGAGGAACAAAAGCAGCACUGUGAGGUUUCCAUGAGCAGAAUGCAUCCAGCCAGAGCUUCCAAUAGAGCUCUGUGAGGAAACGCUAAGCCCUGGGAGGCAACUGCACAUGUAAAACUCUCCCAGUUCUCAGGGACCAGAAAAGUCACAAAUAAGACACUGGAUUUUCAAAAGCACUUCCGAGGCAGCCUGAACUGAUGACUGUAAAAGAAUUGAUGGGUCUGUUCCAGCCAUGGAACAGGAACUGCUCCUUGCUGAGAGUCAGAAGCCCCUUCUAGGAAGCAUCUGAUACUCCUGCCCACUCUGCUUCUCACUGAGCCUUUGGCCACAGGUCCUGCAUGGCCCUCACCAAGGAGAGACCUGCACAGAACUGGGGGAGCAGCAGUGCCGCAAGCAGCCUGGUGUGACCAGGGCCAGCAGGAGCCAGAUGGGAAGUGCUCCUCUCCAAAAGAAAUAGGCCAGGGAGUGAGACACUGACUCAUCAGGUGUAUCAGAAGUGUCCCUCUCUGGGGUCCCACAGGCUUGUGGAAACCUCCUGGUCCUCAGUAGCAGCACCAGGACAAUGGAAUAGAGCUAAGCUGGGAUCUGAGCUCCUCUCACAAAUGUUUCCUGCUGUGAGCCAGCACAGCAGUUACACACCUGUUCCGUGCUGCUGGGAUAGAGACAGCCAUGGAAGGACAAGUAGGGACCAGCCAUUGCCGUGCCUGCUUGGCUCCAUCAUGGCACUGGCUCCUGGGUCACCCUGUGCCCUACACUGGUGCUGCUCAGCAUGGAUAGGACACUUUCACUCCGGGUUUAUCCUCACAAAGAAGACUUGGAGAUAGGGAAGACCUUCCUCCUACCUAGCACAGUCUGUCUCAGUCUUUCAUGAUUUGCCCCAUACCAUUCUCUACCUAAAUAAGAAAAACAAACGACUAAAGGAGCGAACUGGAGCUGGUGGAAUUGUCUGCUCCAGAUUCCAGGUUUGGGGUGCAAACACC